rnacentral:rRNA from 1 species
UAUUGCUACGGUAAUAACUCAGCGAACAUGUGCUAAUGCCGUAGGUGCCCUUCGGGGGAAAGAUUUAUCGGGAAGGAUGAGCCCGCGUUGGAUUACCUAGUUGGUGGGGUAAAGGCCCACCAAGGCGACUAUCCGUAGCUCGGCUGAGAGGAUGAUCAACCACACUGGGACUGAAACGCGGCCCAGACUCCUACGGGAGGCAGCAGUGGGGAAUAUUGGAAAAUGGGGGCAAGCCGGAUCCAGCCAUGCCGCGUGAGUGAUGAAGGCCCUACGGUUGUAAAGCUCUUUCACCGGUGAAGAUAAUGACGGUAACCGGAGAAGAGGCCCCGGCUAACUGCGUGCCAACAGCCGCGGUAAUACGAAGGGGGCUAGCGUUGUUCGGAUUUACUGGGCGUAAAGCGCACGUAUGCUGACUUUGAAGUCAGGGGUGAAAUCCCAUAGCUCAACUCUGGAGCUGCCUUUGAUACUGGGAAGUCUUGAGUAUGGUACAGGUGACUGGAAUUCCGAGUGUAGAUGUGAAAUUCGUAGAUAUUCUGAGGAACACCGAUGGCGAAUGCGGCUCACUGGACCAUUACUGACGCUGAUGUGCAAAAGCGUGGGGAGCAAACGCGAUCUACAUACCCUGGUAGUCCACGCCAUGCACGAUGAAUGUUAGCCCGUCGGGGUGUUUACUACUCCUGGUGGGCGCAGCUCACGCAUGAUGUAUUACUGCCCUGGUGGGGUACGGUCGCAACGAUUGAUAACUCAAAUGAAGUUGACGAGGGUGCCCGCACUAGGCGGAGUGGCAGCAUG